rnacentral:rRNA from 1 species
UUAAUGGAGAGUUUGAUCCUGGCUCAGGACGAACGCUGGCGGCGUGCCUAAUACAUGCAAGUCGAGCGCUUGGGGUGUUCCCUUACGGGAAACCCCCUGGAGCGGCGGACGGGUGAGUAACACGUAGGCAACCUGCCUGUAAGAUCGGGAUAACUACCGGAAACGGUAGCUAAGACCGGAUAGCUGGUUUCUCCGCAUGGGGGAAUCAUGAAACAUGGGGCAACCUA